GUGUCAGCAGCCGCGGUAAUACCGGCAGCUCGAGUGAUGACCGAUUUUAUUGGGCCUAAAGCGUCCGUAGCUGGCCACCCAAGUCCGUUGGGAAAUCCACCUGCCCAACAGGUGGGCGUCCAGCGGAAACUGCUUGGCUUGGGACCGGAAGAUCCAAGGGGUACGUCCGGGGUAGGAGUGAAAUCCUGUAAUCCUGGACGGACCGCCGAUGGCGAAAGCACCUUGGAAGGACGGAUCCGACAGUGAGGGACGAAAGCUAGGGUCUCGAACCGGAUUAGAAACCCCCGUAGUCC
rnacentral:rRNA from 1 species